GUGGGGAAUCUUGCGCAAUGGGCGAAAGCCUGACGCAGCCAUGCCGCGUGAAUGAUGAAGGUCUUAGGAUUGUAAAAUUCUUUCACCGGGGACGAUAAUGACGGUACCCGGAGAAGAAGCUCCGGCUAACUUCGUGCCAGCAGCCGCGGUAAUACGAAGGGGGCUAGCGUUGCUCGGAAUUACUGGGCGUAAAGGGCGCGUAGGCGGACAGCUUAGUCAGAGGUGAAAGCCCAGGGCUCAACCUUGGAAUUGCCUUUGAUACUGGCUGUCUUGAGUUUGGGAGAGGUGAGUGGAACUCCGAGUGUAGAGGUGAAAUUCGUAGAUAUUCGGAAGAACACCAGUGGCGAAGGCGACAUACUGGCUCAUUACUGACGCUGAGGCGCGAAAGCGUGGGGAGCAAACAGGAUUAGAAACCCUAGUAGUCC
rnacentral:rRNA from 1 species